AUUGAACGCUGGCGGCAGGCUUAACACAUGCAAGUCGAGCGGGGAAAGGUAGCUUGCUACCUGACCUAGCGGCGGACGGGUGAGUAAUGCUUAGGAAUCUGCCUAUUAGUGGGGGACAACAUUCCGAAAGGAAUGCUAAUACCGCAUACGCCCUACGGGGGAAAGCAGGGGAUCUUCGGACCUUGCGCUAAUAGAUGAGCCUAAGUCAGAUUAGCUAGUUGGUGGGGUAAAGGCCUACCAAGGCGAAGAUCUGUAGCGGGUCUGAGAGGAUGAUCCGCCACACUGGGACUGAGACACGGCCCAGACUCCUACGGGAGGCAGCAGUGGGGAAUAUUGGACAAUGGGCGAAAGCCUGAUCCAGCCAUGCCGCGUGUGUGAAGAAGGCCUUUUGGUUGUAAAGCACUUUAAGCGAGGAGGAGGCUACCGAGAUUAAUACUCUUGGAUAGUGGACGUUACUCGCAGAAUAAGCACCGGCUAACUCUGUGCCAGCAGCCGCGGUAACAC
rnacentral:rRNA from 1 species